UUUUAUGUUUACUCAGUGAGCACAGGGAAGACUAAGUACUGGUUUCUCUUAAAGCAAUUGAUUUAAUCUCUAGAAUUUCCACCUUCUUUGAUAAGGUCGUCUUUUUUUUAUUGAUCAAAAGAUCAUAAGAAAGAAAGACAUUUUGCAUAAUAAAAGAGUUAAUUCAUUUAAAAGAAAUAAAAUUGAAAUUUUUCAUUCUGUUGUUAACUGUAGCAUAUGCUAGCAAACAACAAAUAAAAAGCAUCAGGCCACAAGUCUUUUUUAUUUUUCAUUUCUUUGAUAUGUUGAAGAUUUCUGUAAUCUAAGUCUGCUCAUGAUUCAUCCUUGAAACCAUGAGCUUUUCUAUGGCAGAAUAUUGGUUUUUACAUUUUUCUUAUAUUAUCUAUAUUUUGUUACCAUGAAUGGAAUGUACAAUCAUGUAUGUACAGUGUAAUAAUAUGUAUAUUUUGAAAUUGAACAUGAUAUUAUACAUUAUCAUUAUUACAUAUAAUUGUGAAUAAAGGUUAAUGAUAUG
rnacentral:misc_RNA from 1 species